GAAAACGCCCUUCCCCCCCGAAGGGGGGGAAAUUGGAGCUGGUAUCAGGCACUCCCCCUUGCCCAAGACACCUAGCCUCGCCACGCCCACAAGGGUCUUCAGCAGUGAUUAACAUUAAAUAUAAACGCCAGUUUGAUUUAGUUAAAGUAACCUAAGGUCGGCAAACACUGGUGCCAGCCGCCGCGGAUAUACCAUGCGGACCCAAAUUGAUUGCCUCCCGGCGUAAAGCGUGAUUAAAGCUAUAAUUAAACUAGGGUCGAAACUAAACCAAAAUGUAAAAUUAUCGUUUUACGUAAGCCCAGACACGAAAGUUACCCUACAGCCAACUUGAACUCACGACAGCUAGGGCCCAAACCGGGAUCAGAUACCCCGCUAUGCCUAGCCGUAAACUUUUACUUACACCCUCUCUCGCCAGGGUACUACGAGCCACGCUUGAAACCCAAAGGACUUGACGGUGCCCCAUACCCAUCUAGAGGAGCCUGUCCUGCAAUCGAUGACCCCCGCUUAACCUUACCACAUUAGGCUUCUCAGCUUGUAUACUUCCGUCUUCGCUUACCGCAUGAGAGUCUCUUAGUAAGCCCAGUGGCAACCCGCCAAUAUGACAGGUCAAAGUGCAGCUAAUAAUGUGGAUGCGAUUGGCUACAUUUUCUAAUUCUAGAACACACGAAAUACGCAUUGAAAUUUGCUUAUGAAGGUGGAUUUAGUAGUAAAAAGAAAAUAGAGCGUUCUUUUUAACCCGGUAAUUGGGGUGUGUACAAACCGCCCGUCACCCUCUUCAAAAAAGAAUCAUCUAAGUAAUUAACAUUUUUCUCUCCCAAGACGAGGCAAGUCGUAACAUGGUAAGUAUACCGGAAGGUGUACUUGGAUA
rnacentral:ncRNA from 1 species